UACGAGGGGGGCGAGCGUUGUUCGGAAUUAUUGGGCGUAAAGGGUGCGUAGGCGGUUUGGUAAGUCUGAUGUGAAAUCUAUGGGCUCAACUCAUAGUCUGCAUCGGAAACUGGGGUGCUCGAGCGUGGGAGAGGAAAGCGGAAUUCCUGAUGUAGCGGUGAAAUGCGUAGAUAUCAGGAGGAACACCUGUGGUGUAGACAGCUUUCUGGACCAUUGCUGACGCUGAGACACGAAAGCGUGGGUAGCAAACAGG
rnacentral:rRNA from 1 species